rnacentral:lncRNA from 10 species
CAGUCCGUGGCACCGCAAUCAGGGGUGGCGCCACCCCGCCCCGGGCCUCAGCGAAGACCUCCGCCCGGCCAACAUGGCUGGCGCCGCCUCUGCCACGUCAAGAGGAGGGGACGGGGCGUGAGGGCAGGAAGGGGGCAGGAAGGGGCGGGCGCAGAGUUACCAGGGCAGGCCACCGGACCCCUGAGCUUGCUUAAUAACCGGAGGAUUUGAGAAAGGCGCGCGGCGGGCGAAGGUCGCAGAAAGAGUGGAGAACUGGUGCCACUCGGACACCUUAGCUCACCGAGAGAAAUGGAGACGGCCUCCAGGACAUCUUAGGACCCUGGUUGAUUCCGAGAAUCACAAAUCACAUCUCUGAAAAAAGUGAAAAGUUCAUUCUUUCACUUAGUGCAACAAAUGUUUACUGAAACUUACUAUGUGCCAGACACAAUUGAGAUGCUGGUAAUAUGAUGCAGGCAAAGUAGGCCCAGAUCCCUGGCCCGAAAGAAUUCACGUACUAUUUA